CUUUUAAAAAAUCUAAAUUCAAAACACAACUUUUGAAAACUUUACUAAACAUGCCCUUUAUUACUAUCUGUUUGGUAAAAUUUUCGAAAACGUUUUCCAUUCUAAAACACUGGCAGUGGUGCGGUGGCCACCAUGCUGCUAGAUAAACACCACGGUGGUAGCCUGCCACCGUGGAGCAACAUUUUUAAAAUAAAUUACUCAUUUUGAAAAUCUAAAAAAAAAAGGCAAUAUACAAAGACAAAGCAGAUGGAUUAUAAGCUUCUUUCUUUUUACCAAGUGAUAAAUGCAUAUAUCUAUGUACUUAUAGAAAUAGAAAUAAAUUUUAUCAAGAUUAAAGUUAUAGUUCUAGUAAGUGUUAAACUAUGGAGAACUUUAUGCUAUGAUUUUGUGGAUACACUUAACUAUACAUUGUCUUGUCAGGGAACAAACAAAGUUGAGGGCAUAUUGUUAAAUUUGCCUAAACCAGACCUGAUACACUUGAGUCCCAAAGCCUUUAAGAAGAUGAAAGGGCUCAGACUAUUUAUAAGUCGUAACGCACACUUUUCUGAAGAGCCUAAUUUUCUCUCUAGUGAGUUAAGAAUAAUAGAUUGGGUUGAAUAUCCCGGAGAAUCUUUUCCAUCCAGUUUUCGUGGAAAGAACCUUGUGAUUUUAAGAAUGGCUCAUAGUCGCAUCAAGAUAUUGGAGGGAGUUCAGCAUUUCCAAAACUUGACAACUAUGCAUUUCUUUCAUUGUAAAUUCCUUGAAAAAAUCCUUGAUGUUUCAAGGAUCCCAAAUUUAGAGUCGUUGAAACUUAAUUAUUGCAAAAAUUUAGUUGAUGUUCAUAAAUCUGUUGGAUUCCUUGAUAAGCUCGUUGAGCUGAUCAUUAACUCUUGCUCUAAUCUUAGAAGUUUCCCGAAAAGGUUCAAGUUGAGAUCUCUAAAAUGUCUCAUACUUGCUCGUUGUUCAAUGCUUAAGAACUUUCCUGAAAUUGAGUGUCGAAUGGAAUGUUUAGAGCAUAUCUACUGUUAUGAUAUUGGUAUAGAAGAACUGCCUUCAUCAGUUGGCUACCUUGUUGGAGUUCAAAAAUCAGGUCACCUCAAGUUUAUGAAUCUUCCAGGUAGCAUUUAUCAACUGAAACAUUUAGGGAAACAUUCUCUCUAUGAUGAUUUUAGUUUAGAAGAACCCCCUUCGUCCAUUGGGUACUUGGAUGGGAUAAAGGAAUAUUGCACAAAUCUUACGAUUUUUUCAUCCCCAAAUUUCUUAAGGGCACUUGGUUGUGGCUCCACGUUGUACCAUUUAAAUCUAUCCGGGUGUGGUAUUGUUACCCUUCCUCGAUGUAUCGAAAGUUUUGUUGGAUUGAAGUCCCUUUAUUUGAAUAAAUGCAUGCAACUUCGAGAAAUUCUAGGACUUCCACCAAAUGUAGAAAAUGUGCAUGCUUGCGCGUGCUUGUCAUUGGAAGUAUUUUUAGAAGGAAGUAGAAGAUCUCAAUUGUUUAAUACGAAGGAUCCACCAGAGCUUGUGGGGGUUGGAACAGAAAUUCCAGCACAACAAUCAUUGAGAGAGCUAGAUUUAUCAGGUAGCGCUAUUGUUAGCCUUCCUAUAUGGUUCAACGGAUUUGUUCAAUUAAAGAAUCUUUACUUAGAUGGUUGCAAGCAACUUCGAGAAAUUCUAGGACUUCCACCAAAUGUAAUAAAAUUGUCUACUUUGAAUUGCUUGUCAAUGGAAGUAUUUUUAGGAGAAGCUAGAAGAUCUCAAUUGUUUAAUACAUGUGUCCCAACAAAUCCUUUGCGGGUUGGAACGGUAUCUUCGGCAGUGCAACCAUUGGAACAAAAGUUUCAACUUGAAUGCCCUUUCAACAGUUUGAAACAUCUAAAUCUAAGUGAUAGUGCUAUUAUUAGCCUUCCUACAUUGUUGAACAGCUUUGUUCGAUUGAAAUGCCUUAAGUUGGAACGUUGCAAGCAACUUCGAGAAGUUUCAGAGCUUCCACAAAAUAUAAGAUAUGUAUAUUUGGGUGGAUGCACGUCAUUGGAAAGACUUCCAUUUAAUAAUAUAUACAAUUUACCAAAGCUUUUGUGGAUUGACUUCUCCGAUUGCCCUGAACAAAUAGGGGAUGCUGUACAAAAUCAUUUAUUCAGUGAGGGACAUCCUAAGCUCCAUCGAUUUCAUUGUAUAUAUCCGGGAAAUAGGAUUCCAGAUUACUUCAGCUAUUGUAAAGAGGUUUCAAAUAAUCAUUUGUGUGAAAUAGAUACCGGGCCUCUACAUUUUGAUUCAUUGAAUACAACAUUUGCUUUCUUUGCUGUUAUUGGAACGACGAAUGAUGGACAAGAUGCACGUCUUUUUGAGAUUGUUGUUGAAGUCUUCAAUAAUGGUCCGCAAAUCCAUUUUGAAUAUACCUCCAAGUCAGAUCAUGUAUGUUUAAAUUACGAAGAUUCAUACCAUCGUCAGCUUAAGACGGAUAAUCUUCGAGUUAAAUUUAAAUUCAAGUAUCCUUCAAUACCGGUGUUCUUUAAAAGUUGUGGAUUCCAUAUAGAACCAAGAUAUAAAGGGAAAGCGACAUGUUUAACGGGUGGUGUUCAACUUUCUAAGAGACAUCAUGAUGAUGAUGAUGCUGGCAGCUUGGAAUCCAAUAAUUGGUACCCACAAAAAAGGAGGCAUUCUUCGCUCCAGAAACACAAAAAAAUCUGCAUUCUUCACUCCAGAGAAUUUGAUAGUUGCUGAGAUCUGAGAAUGAAAUGAUAUCGAAUGUAAAUAAUCUCAAGCAAACUUUAAAAGGUAAGACAUGAAAUGCUUCUCAACACCCUUGUGGUGGACUCUACCAACAUGGCAAACUCGUCCUUCGUUGUAUCAAGCCCAUAAUUACAGGCACCAGCUUGUGUACUCUGACUUUUGCUAAGGAGUUUCAGAUGCAGAGGAUAUGCCUCUUGGUGAAUCGCAAUUAUAUCAAUCAAAUCACCCCCAGAACUUGGGUUAUAAUAAUGAAUGAUGAUGAUUGAUGAAUGGUGGGGGCUGGUUGGCAACCUUGGCCAGGUCAAAGGAUUCAACCAGUCGUGUUUUGGUAUGCAUGUUCUUGAAUGCCAUUGAUGUUGAUUGUGGCGGUGUGGGUUUGCAUGGG